AGAGUUUGAUCCUGGCUCAGGAUGAACGCUGGCGGCGUGCCUAAUACACGCAAGUCGAGCGAACCACUUCGGUGGUGAGCGGCGAACGGGUGAGUAACACGUAGGUGAUCUGCCCAUCAGACGGGGACAACGAUUGGAAACGAUCGCUAAUACCGGAUAGGACGAAAGUUUAAAGGUGCUCCUGGCACCGCUGAUGGAUGAGCCUGCGGCGCAUUAGCUAGUUGGUAGGGUAAAGGCCUACCAAGGCGACGAUGCGUAGCCGACCUGCGAGGGUGAACGGCCACACUGGGACUGAGACACGGCCCAGACUCCUACGGGAGGCAGCAGUAGGGAAUCUUCGGCAAUGGGCGAAAGCCUGACCGAGCAACGCCGCGUGAAUGAUGAAGGCCUUCGGGUUGUAAAAUUCUGUUAUAAGGGGAGAACGACUUUAGUAGGAAAUGGCUAAAGUGUGACGGUACCUUAUGAGAAAGCCACGGCUAACUACGUGCCAGCAGCCGCGGUAAUACGUAGGUGGCAAGCGUUAUCCGGAAUUAUUGGGCGUAAAGAGCGCGCAGGUGGUUGAUUAAGUCUGAUGUGAAAGCCCACGGCUUAACCGUGGAGGGUCAUUGGAAACUGGUCGACUUGAGUGCAGAAGAGGGAAGUGGAAUUCCAUGUGUAGCGGUGAAAUGCGUAGAGAUAUGGAGGAACACCAGUGGCGAAG
rnacentral:rRNA from 1 species